GAUGAACGCUAGCGGCAGGCCUAAUACAUGCAAGUCGAACGGUGUCUUCGGACAUAGUGGCGCACGGGUGCGUAACACGUAUGCAACCUACCUUACAUUGGGGGAUAGCCUUUCGAAAGGGAGAUUAAUACCGCAUAAGACAGUAGCUGGGCAUCCAGCAGCUGUUAAAGAUUUAUCGAUGUAAGCUGGGCAUGCGUCCAAUUAGCUAGUUGGUGAGGUAACGGCUCACCAAGGCAAUGAUUGGUAGGGGAACUGAGAGGUCAAUCCCCCACACUGGCACUGAGAUACGGGCCAGACUCCUACGGGAGGCAGCAGUAGUGAGUAUUGGGCAAUGGACGCAAGUCUGACCCAGCCAUGCCGCGUGCGGGAUGAAGGCGUUAUGCGUUGUAAACUGCUUUUAUACAGGAAGAAACGACUCUUGCGAGAGGCAUUGACGGUACUGUAUGAAUAAGCACCGGCUAACUCCGUGCCAGCCGCCGCGGUAAGAC
rnacentral:rRNA from 1 species